GACGAACGCUGGCGGCGUGCCUAACACAUGCAAGUCGAACGGAGAUACGAUUUCGGUUGUAUCUUAGUGGCGAACGGGUGAGUAACGCGUGAGCAACCUGACUCUUAGAGGGGGAUAACACUCGGAAACGGGUGCUAAUACCGCAUAAGACCACGACAUGGCAUCAUGACGAGGUCAAAGGAGCAAUCCGCUGAGAGAGGGGCUCGCGUCCCAUUAGAUAGAUGGCGGGGUAACGGCCCACCAUGUCAACGAUGGGUAGCCGAGCUGAGAGGCUGAUCGGCCACACUGGAACUGAGACACGGUCCAGACUCCUACGGGAGGCAGCAGUGGGGAAUAUUGGGCAAUGGGCGCAAGCCUGACCCAGCAACGCCGCGUGAGGGAAGAAGGCUUUCGGGUGUAAACCUCUGUCCUUGGUGACGAAAAAAUAGACGGUAGCCAAGGAGGAAGCCCCGGCUAACUACGUGCCAGCAGCCGCGGUAAUAGUCACGACG
rnacentral:rRNA from 1 species